rnacentral:lncRNA from 1 species
AUGCGAAGCCAAGACUAGACUCAUAUGAAUAGUGUUACUGGGCUGUUGCGUGAUUCAUGGAAACUCUAGGGUUCCCGGUGCAAGAUCUGUUUUCCUUUUCUUUUGUUUUUUUGCAGAUCUUAUGGGUGAAAUUUGGAAAUGCAUAGAAAUUCGUAGAUAAGUCGAAAAAUAGCAAAUGUGGACUUUUUGGAAUCCUUAUGAAAUUCUAUAUGCAGUAGAUCUAUAUUAUUGCAUGUUUUAGUAUGAAGUUUUAACGGUAAAAAUAGAUUUGUGCAGUUCGGUUUUAAUUGCUUGUUAUAAUUGUCUUUUUCAUAACCACUGUAUUAUUGCUCAAAUAAAUGUGAAAAUACUGUGACAAGCUUUUCAUAUGAUGUUUGAUGUCUGGUAAAUGUUUCAUGAAUUUAGGCAUGAUAGAUUGGGAGUUAUAAAAAUAACAAAUGCCCUGUGUUGCUUUGCUCCUAUUCUGAGUAGAUCUGCAUGUUUGUAUUGUUUGGCUCAGUUAGGUUGUGAAUCAUGCCUGGAUGAAAAUGUAUAUGUUUUAGUACUUUUCAUAAGCUUUCCAAAAAGAUAAAUAGCACAAUUUUUGGUU